rnacentral:rRNA from 1 species
GACGUAGGGCGCGAGCGUUGUCCGGAUUUAUUGGGCGUAAAGAGCUCGUAGGCGGCUUGUCGCGUCGACUGUGAAAUCCCGCGGCUCAACUGCGGGUCUGCAGUCGAUACGGGCAGGCUAGAGUUCGGUAGGGGGAGACUGGAAUUCCUGGUGUAGCGGUGAAAUGCGCAGAUAUCAGGAGGAACACCGAUGGCGAAGGCAGGUCUCUGGGCCAUCACUGACGCUGAGCUGCGAAAGCGUGGGGAGCGAACAGG